CCUACGGGUGGCAGCAGUCGAGAAUCAUUCACAAUGGGGGAAACCCUGAUGGUGCGACGCCGCGUGGGGGAAUGAAGGUCUUCGGAUUGUAAACCCCUGUCAUGUGGGAGCAAAUUAAAAAGAUAGUACCACAAGAGGAAGAGACGGCUAACUCUGUGUCAGCAGCCGCGGUAAUACAUAGGUCUCAAGCGUUGUUCGGAAUCACUGGGCGUAAGGCGUGCGUAGGCUGUUUCGUAAGUCGUGUGUGAAAGGCGCGGGCUCAACCCGCGGACGGCACAUGAUACUGCGAGACUAGAGUAAUGGAGGGGGAACCGGAAUUCUCGGUGUAGCAGUGAAAUGCGUAGAUAUCGAGAGGAACACUCGUGGCGAAGGCGGGUUCCUGGACAUUAACUGACGCUGAGGCACGAAGGCCAGGGGAGCGAAAGGGAUUAGAUACCCUUGUAGUC
rnacentral:rRNA from 1 species